GCAGUGAAACAAAUGAAUGUACCCUGAGCUGCUCAGCAUCCCUCUGUGACGACAAAGAGUCUGAUGCGCGGCGCGUGACGGUCAGACGGAACCACGUCCCGGUGGCAGUAGGUUCGGUACCGAGAGCGGAAACAUGAGCUGCAACUGGGGCACCGAGCUGUGGGACCAGUUUGAUAAUCUCGAGAAGCAUACCAGCUGGGGCAUUGACUUCCUGGAAAGAUACACCAAGUUUGUGAAAGAGCGAGCUGACAUAGAGCUGAGCUACGCCAAGCAGAUCCGGAGCCUCUCCAAAAAGUACCACCCAAAGCGGAGCAGAGAAGAGGAGAGCAGGUCAGUAGAG